ACAGUCACUUUAUUAGAAUGAUUCACCACUGAUAACUGUUUUGUGUUUUCCCAUGUGUCAAGGUCCUGGUGCCCUCUCCCCUGCUCAGGCAAAAGCUGCUAAAUAUGGUGCAGGAGUAGUUCCUGGUGGUGCUGGGAUUGUGCCAGGAGCUGGAGGGGUUUAUCCUGCAACGGGAGGUUAAAAAAAACUGUCUAUACAAAAUAUCUAGAAGAACAUUAAAACAUUAUAAUGAUCAUGGAGUCUCAAAACCAUUUAUUUUUUCUAAGGUCUUACUCCCGCUCAAGCCAAAGCAGCUAAAUAUUCCCAACAUUUCAGUGGGGCAGCUGGAACUGGUGUUGGAGGACUGUACCCUGGAGCUGGAGGUGCACCAGUUGGUGGAGUAGUGGGGGGAGCCGGGGGA
rnacentral:lncRNA from 1 species